rnacentral:rRNA from 1 species
UACGUAGGGGGGCGAGCGUCGUCCGGAUUUAUUGGGCGUAAAGAGCGUGUAGGCGGCCUGACAGGUCUGCUGUGAAAACUCGAGGCUCAACCUCGAGAUGUCGGCGGAAACCGUCUGGCUAGAGUCCGGAAGAGGAGAGUGGAAUUCCUGGUGUAGCGGUGAAAUGCGCAGAUAUCAGGAAGAACACCUAUGGCGAAGGCAGCUCUCUGGGACGGUACUGACGCUGAGACGCGAAAGCGUGGGGAGCGAACAGG